rnacentral:lncRNA from 1 species
GGCUUCUGCUCAUGGAUUUCUGCUCCAAUGCAACAGGAGGGUCCUCACCAGAUGGCUGAGCAGAUGCAGGUGCUGUGCCUCUGGACUGCCUAACCUCCAGAACCGAGGUGUUUGAAGCUGUGAAUGUGGAUGAAAGUACCAAUAUAGAGAGAACAGAGUGAGAAUAGAAGAGAGCCCAAGAAUCUAAAGUCAUGCACUUGCAAGGGAGUCAGAGGAAGAGAGGUAAGAAGGAAAAUGGUUCAUUGUUUCCAUCAUAUACUCUAUGGAAUACAAAGCUCUGAAACCUAUUGGCUACUGGGAGUGUACAGUAAAAAGACUCUCUCAAGCUAGAGGUGGGGUAGAGCUGGAGCCAGUCACAUCAAGAUCUUUCAAGGACAUGAACAUUUUUUAUGCUUAUUGAAAGAUGAUGUGGUUUUAAAAU